rnacentral:sRNA from 1 species
CUAUAUCAGUGAAUGUAAGACCUAAGUUAGUACCUUAAUGA